UGAAGAACUGCAAAUUGCUCAUCACUGUUUAAGAGUAAAAUGCAGCACAAUGUCUGUCUAAUGUCUAUUUAUAAAAGGAAUAUCCCUAAAAUCACCCCCACCUGAUAAUGUGAACAGUCUUGGAAAGCUAAGAAAUCUGCAAGUACUACUUACUGUUCCAUCUUUUAAAUGCUAAGGGACAGCAUGAAUGAUUUAUGAAUUUAAAAUGGCUUGCUUGCGGUUGUUGCUAUUUUAUCUGAUAAUAAAGAACAUAUAUGUUGUGAAGUUAAGCUUGAAAGACAAAAGAUGUUUCGUAUGACUUUCCCGGAGUAGCUAGUUAGCAUCUGCGCUGGAAAUCCCAUAUACCUGUUUACUGUUUUAAUGCACCCCCUGAAGCUAUCGCUUGAUCCUGUUGCAUAUAGACGUGGCAAAGCUGGGAUUUGAAAUGUCAGUGGAGAGGCUGGUCUCAAUGUAUCACUCCCGCCACAGGUAGUGGGCGAUGGAUGAGGCAGGCGCUUGCUUCCAGGAGCUGUAGCUGUUCAUAUUUCACAGAACCUAAGGGCAGACAGCAAGGAAAAUAGGACACUGAAAGAGGAAGGGAGGGGGAGACUCCAUGCUUAUAAGUCCUUUAAAAAAAUAAAGAUCCUUGAAUCAUUGCCUCUACUGAUAAUUUCUAAGCCAAUCGUUAAUUGAGUAUAGUGUGAAGUAUGUGUGUGUGCAUAUGCACAUGUACACAUACAUAGAGUUGUCCUAAUAUUUCAUUACACUCUCCCUUAACCAAAAAUCACAAUUACGGCUGAGACUAAAUUAUCCCACACUUGCCCAUUUUGCCAGCGCACAAUUUUGUGCAGUAACAAAGGUUGAAAGUGAAAGGAGCAACACCACUAAAGAAAUUUUUGAUAAAUCAGAUUUUGUUUUGAAAUGUACUUUUAAUGCAUUCCCCAAAUCAAGAGCCCCCCCUCCACCCCCCCCCCCCUAUUGUAUCAGCACAACUCUGUGGAUUCUUUUGGUCCUGCAAAAGUUACUUGGUGCAGAUCCUUCAAAUGGAGUGUGAAAUUAUAUUUGCUUUUUGUUGUUGUUAAUUGCUAUCAAAUAUGAGUGAGAGACCUUCAAGAGCUGUGGUCAUCAACUGCACUGCUCAGGUCUUGCAAACUCAAAGCUGUCUACCCCCUGUGAUGUUGUGUCCCUCUUUUCCUAUAGCCUUCCACUUUAUUUAGCACUAGCUUGGGGAUCCAGCAGUGCCCGGGUCAUUUGAAAAAGGCAUUGUUUACAUGUAUUCCAAGUGUAGUCUAGAUCCAAUGUCAACUGGGUUCAGUGGGUGCGGGUGAACUACAACUCCCAUCGUCGAUGGACCCUCCCCCUGCAAACAGGCCCAGGAUGUAGAAUGGGUCAUGGUGGCUCUAUGUACAAAGUUUGAUCUUGAUCAGUCAUUGGUGGGAGUCGCAGUGGUGUCAGAAGUGAAUGAAGGUAUUGCAAGUCCUAUCAUCCAUGGUCCAUCCCCCUCCAAACAGCACCAGGAUGUAGAGUGGGUCAUAGGAGGUCUGUGUGUCAAGUUUGGUCUUGAUCAGUCAUUGGUGUGGGUUGACGUGUUUUCAGGAAGUGAGUGAAGGUACUGUAAAUCCCAUCAUUCUUGGUCUGUUGUCCCCCAAACCACAGGAGGACGUAAAGUGGGUCAUGGGAGAUAUGUGUGCCAAGUUUGGUCCUGAUGCAUCAUUGGAUAGAGUAACAGUGGUCUGUGGGAGACAAAGCGUUUGAAAGUACUGAAAAUCCCAUCAUCCGUUGUCCAGCCUGCCCCAAAUGGCACCAGGACAUAGAAUGGGUCGUGGGGGUUAUGUGUGCCAAGUGUAGUCCUGAUCCGUCAUUAGUUAGAGUAACAGUGGUCUGUUGGAGACAAAGUGUUUGAAAGUACUGCAAAUCCCAUAAUCCUUGGUGCAUCCUCCCCCAAACUUGUCCAAUAUGGGUGGGGUUCAAUUGCAGGCGAACUAUAAAUCCCAGUACCUACUACUCCCAAACAUCCAGGCCAAUUCCCCUCAAAACUCACCAGUAUUGAAAUCUGGGCAUAUGUGGGUAUGCAUGGCAAAUUUAGUCCACAACUAUCAUUGUUUGGGUUCAUAGCGUUCUGGGUGUAGGUGAACUACAACUCCUAAAUUCCCCAGUAGGAGUCACAGUCCUCUGACUUGAUGCAGGGUGAACGACAGCUCCUCAUGUUUGGAGGUGGGUUACAACAUAGCUUUUCAUAGCCACUAAAAGGGUUGGUUCUCAUCUCCAUUUCUAAGCCGAAGAACUGCCGCUGUCCGUAGACACCUCCAAGGUCAUGUGGCUGGCAUGACUGCAUUGAGUGCCAUUACCUUCCCGCCAGAGCAAUACCAAUUGAUCUUACAUUUGCAUGUAAGGUUGGCAGAAGCUGGGGCUAACAGCGGUCGCUCACCCCACUCCCUGGAAUCGAACCGCCGAUCUUUCAGUCAGCAAGUUCAGAAGCUCAACAGUUUAAUCCGCUGUGCCAUCAAGGGCUCUUUUUUGCCACUGACAUAGAACAAAUUUUAGAGGCCACUGGUUUGCAACAUUUCCAAGUCAAGUGAGCAAAGAGGCAGAUUUGAUUAAAGCCUGCUUAAAAUCCAUGUUUUAAACCUCUAGUUUAGUCAAAUCAAUUAAUUACACCAGUGAAUCAGAUAAUGCUGCCAGCCAUAAUAAAGACUGGAUGCAGCCGUUCAGCCAGCAAUUUUAGUAAUGAGCCCAGCUUCAAGAGAAGAAGUAGAGUGUAUUUUUAUUUGCACAGGGAUAACUUCCUCUCACUUCCAAACCAAUUUUCAGCAGGAGACAACGCCGACACCACAUUUCUUAGACAUAAUUCAGGAUAAAAUUAAUAGCAAGGCAAGAUCCUUGAGUCACCUAGUCCUUCUCCGUGGAAUUGUUUCUAAUUGAAUGUUAAGAUCAAAGUUUAAGUUUAUAAGAGAGGAAAAACAAGCACAGAUAAAUAGUUAUUAUCUGACAUCCUUAUGAAAAUUCAUGACCUGCUGCUUUAUCGGAGACCUUUUAAGAAUUCUAAUUGUGAAGUAUGCAGAACUAUUAAAUGGCUAGAGUGCUUCAGUCUCUUGAUAAGAAGCGAGUUAAAUAAUUGUCCUGUUUAACUUGUGCUUGUUAACCUUUAAGGUCAACUAGUUUGAACAUACGUUUAAUGAAAUCCUGCAGCCAGAAUUUAUGAUACUGCUUCUGAAUGUUAAAUUGGACAAUUUACAUAAGCAGGACAUUAACCUUCUGAGUACUAAAUAGCAUUUUAGCACUUAGCCGCUGGGGACAAUAAGGGACAUGUUCUAUAUAUUUGUGAUUAGCUUGCCUGGAAACUCUCAUGAUGACCAAUUGGCCUACCAAGUUUAGCAGCAUAAUUAAAUGAAUGGACUCAGCCUAAGUAAAUUAUCACUGCUGUGUACAGUAUAUCAUUAUAGUCCUAAGGAGGAGGGGGAGGGGGGAGAAAGGGUAUGAAUAAUUUAAUAUUACAUUACUAAUUUAUCAAUGCUAAGUGACUGUGGGAAGACUCUCUGUAAUUCGUUGGUUUAAAUUUGAUAUUUGAUUUACGGGUGGUGUGAUUAAACUUGAGCCUACUUAAUUUCUUUAUCAGAAAUUUAUGGGAACUCAAAAUUUAUGAUAGGAUUUCUAACUCCCCCCACUCCUGCCAACUUCUCCUUCGUUCCCUUUUCCAGUAACAAAAGUAUUUUCAUUUGUUCCUUCUCUCUUAAUUAGAGCAAAUACAAAAUACUAAAUGCCAUCCAACUUGUAGCUGGGCCAUGUUUUAGAAAGAAAUAACUGGUAGACAUGUUUAACUCAGCUCUGGGUAACUUCCAAAUGAUGCUGAGCUCUGUAUUUCUAAAUCCCACUCUGCCACUCUGACCAAUAGUGAUGCCUGGUGGGAGUUAUAGUUUAUUGGUAUCCAGAGGAACACAGUGUCUUCAGUAUAAAAUAGUUCUCCUGGCAGCUGACUGAUACAGAAAGCAAAGAUGCCUGUCUCAGAAUUCCAAGCUUUUCUUACAAGGAAAGGAUCAUUCAGAGGAAAUGCUUCAAUGCAGUUUUAAAAAUAAACACAACCUGAUACUUUACCCCACAUGUCAUAAUCUUAUUUUUUUCUCCUUUGAACAACCAAGACUUAGCAUAAUAGCCACAUCUUGCAAGUCCCAUAACUUUACCCAUCCUGAUGACAUUAUGAGAAGUUUGCUAAGACACCUCUGGUAGGAAAUGAAUUAGAAUUUUUACAGUAUAGACCUGGAUGUGUUUACUUUGAAAUAAACCAAACAAUACAUACACAAUGCAUAAUUUUAUUAACUGUUGUCAAAUAUGCUUUGAGUUAUGUUGACUCUAUGAAUAAGAGACCUCCAGGUCAUCCUAUCAUCAACCACCUUGCUGAGGUCUGGCAGACUUCCUUGAUUGAGUCUAUCCACCUAUCAUGCACUUCCUCUUUUCUUUCUGCCUUUUACCAUACCAAGGACUGUUGUUUUUUCUGGUGAUUCAUGUCUUCCCAUGAUAUGGCCAAAGUAUGACACUCAGUUUAGUCAUUUUGGCUUCUAGGGAGUGUUUAGGCUUCAUUUGUUCUAGGACCAAUUUCCUGGUCUUUCUCGCAGGCUAUGGUUUCUAUAGUACUUUUUCCCCACUUUUUAUCUGCUUUCUUCACUGUCAAUAAAUGGGAAAUACAAUGGCAUGAACAAUCCUAACUUUAGUGUUCAAUUAUACAUUUUGAUUAGUUCCUUCAAAAAGAUUAUUCUAAAUCCUAGUCUGCCGAUUUCUUGACUUCAAUCACCAUUCUAGCUAAUGAUUGAGCCAAGAUUUGAAAAAUCAUGAACUAUAAUUAUACAGAUAUAAUGAUGUGCAAUUCUUAGGCACACAGAGAGUAUGUCCAUAUGAUAGUUAUAACAGAUAGGUUGACACCAAUUUAACUGCUCAGGCUCCAGCCUCUGAUAUCCCAGAACUUGGGGCUUGGAAUUCUCUAAUACCUCAGUGCUAUUCAGAAUAAUGAUCCAUUGACCCUGAGACAUCAGCUGCUGGUCCCUGUCAUGCUUGUGGCAAAGAAAGAAACAAUUGCAGCCAAUGGAUGCGAGCAUGGGCCUUGGAGCCUUGGUGAAAAUAAUUACAUGGGCUUGAUCCUCAUGUAAGCUGCCCUGAGUCUCUUCGGGGAGAUGGAGGCGGGAUAUAAAAAUAAAGUUGUUGUUGUUGUUGUUGUUGCUAUUUACUGGUCCUCACAUCAGAUAGCUUGAGCAGCAUUGCUUUAGCUCACUUCCUUUCAACAACAACACUAGCGCUCGCUAGCAGACAAUCCAGACCCUUUUCUCUCUUCUUCCUUAUCCAGGGGUUGCUAGAGAGAGAGGAAAAUAUUGGUUUUGCCAGAUGCCUGAAUGACUCAUGUACAUAGUGGUAGCUAAUGGUUUUCAUGGUUAUGGGGAAAUGAACCUAAGUCUUGAAGGAACUAUCCAGAGUGCUGAACUUAUUUUGAGGAACCAGAGUCAGUUCUUGGAUAGUUUAUUCAACUUUUGAGUAGAGGCUAGAGAAAGUUCAUUGCCACACAGACACUUAUCUAAUAUUUAACAACAACAACAACAACUACUACUACUACUACUACUACGUUAUUUUUAUACCCCGCCUCAAUCUCCCCAAAGGGACUAGGGGCAGCUUACAUGGGGCCAACCCCAGGUGAUUACAAUCAUUUGUAAAUAAAACACAUCCAAGUAAAAUACACUUCUACCUGUUGAACAUAGUAAAAUAACAAACAUGUCUACAUUAACACACAUAGUUAAAAAAACCUGAGCAAACUCAUAAAAGCGAAUUGGGCCAAAAGUGCAUGGAGUGAAAAUUGUAAACUAGAGAAUGAAGUAAGUAAUUUAGAAAUAAUUUAUAACUUGGGCUGUUACUACUUGGCUUAUACUGUGUUAGUGAACUGUGGCCCUUCUCAGAGAAUCAUAGAGUUAGAAGUGACCACAAGGACCAUCCAACCCCCCUGCCAUUCAGGAACACACAAUCUAAGCUGAUGAAAUUAUAGGACUGUCAGAUUGUUCUAGUGCCUGCUCAAACUACAAAUCCCAGCAUUCUGUAGGAUGCAGACAUGGCAAUUAAUGUGGCAUUAUGACUUAUAAAGCACUAUAUUGCUCAGGCCCGAGUUAUUUGGCAGAUUACAUAUCCCAGUAUGAACUGGCUGAGCCCUGAGGUCCUCUUAGUGUUUAUAUGUACAUUGUAUUGUUUUGAGCUUUGUUAGCCACUCUAAGUCUCAUUUAAGAGACAAAAAGUGGUAUGUAAUGAUAAUAAUAUAAUGCUAUUAAUGUGCAGUUUAAAAGGGUCUCCAUUUAUGCAGUCAGUUAUUUCAUGAUACCAUUCAAAAUAAGGGUUAUGUGGCAUGUGGCAUUUAUUCUGUUAAAGAUCUCAGCCUGUGUCUGCCAUUCCUCACCAUUUAAAGGGGAAAAUCCACCCAAGAACGAAGUCUAGAUAGCCUUUCUCUCCUGAGCUUGCAAUAUUACUAUGAAAGUACAAUUAGUUUCACAUUUCAAGUUUCAUAAGUACCUUAGCCACAAUGUCCAAAUCUUUACUUUUAGUUAUUUUUAAAAAGAAAUCAGAUUGUCACAAGACACUUGUUGUAGCCCAGCCUCCAUCUGAGCAGUCAGGUGAGCCUGAGGUUGGGCCCAUUCAGCCUAUUAUUGUCCCUGUACCCGCGUUGUCAGAGGUGCAGCCAAAGUUUGUCCCUGCACCUGCCUUGCCAGAGGACUCUGGGUUUAGGCCUGAGAUGCAGCCAGAGUUUGUCCUAGUGGAUUCUGGGACCAGAGAAUGGUUGCAAGUAGGCAGUUUGAACCUCAUUCCUCAAAGCAGUCAAGGUCGAAUCUCCUGGUGCCAGAUGGACAUUCUAGUUUGGAUGUUGGAAUUGAUAAGGUGGGGAGUGAUAAUGAGCUUGACAGGAGGAGAGCGAUAACUCAGUUGAGUAAAAGAAAAGGAGCAUGUUAGGAGGAGUAGGCGUUUGCUUUUGAAAUGAAAUAAUGAAUAACCUUCUCAUGGGAUGGGACCUUGAAUUUCCCUUAUAAGAAGGGGUGCUUUCUCUGACACAGUCAGAGGUGGUAACGUUGCAAAUCCAAGAAGGAAGAUCUUUGCUUUGUGUGUAUUUCUGCAGCCUUGUAUCUUGAUUCAAGUUCCCGCCUUGCUUGUUCCUGUGUUUCCAGUUGAAUGCUCCAGUAUUUUGCAAUUUGGAUUUUUGUUCCAGCCAAGACCCUUGCCUUGUGUUCCAGCUUGCACUCUGUACCUUGGACUAAACUUGAAGUUUUGUUCUUGCAUUCCAGCAUUGCUUUCUGUGUUUCCAGCUUGAUUCAUGCUUUGGAUUAAUCCUUGAAAUCUUGUUUGGACUAUUCAUGAUAUUUUUGUGGGACUUACUUUGAUAUCCAGUUUGGACUAUGUUCUUUGAGUGAUUUUUAUAGACUCUUGCUUCAAGAUUUUCAAGUACUUUGUUUUUGUGGAUUUAAACCCAUUUUAUUGACUCUGAACUUUAAUUUGCUAUUGCUUGCAUAUAAUCUUCAAUAAACAGCUUGCUUGCUUAUAUUCUGGGGCUCCAAUGUGGUUUUGAGGUGCCUACGCAGCCUAUGGGUGCAACAACACUGGACUUGAGGUGGUAGUGAGUAAGAGGCACUGCUAGCUUGAUGUGACCUGAACAUGCAAAACAGAGUAUGUUCUAACUAUUCUAAAUUAAUAUUGUAUGCUGCUUGUUGUAUAAUUCACACACAUUACAGAUUGUUUUAGGUAUCUUGUUGCUUUAACAUUCACAGUGAACGCCAUGUGAAAGUAAAGCAGGAUAUAAUGAAAUACACACCUGCAUAAAUCAGCAGCAAGUAGCAGCCCUUGAACUUUCUCAUAUUCAUGCUUUUACCUUUUAUUGAGGCCACACCUUGUAACUGCAGAAUAAUUCCAAAUAAUAGCUCCAUUACAAAGGAGUAACAUCAUCAUUUAUUUAAUUACAAUUUAAUUUAAUAUAGUAAUAGGAGUAAUUCUUCACUUUAUGUAUUUUUCAUCUUUACCCUCAAACCAGAUCUCAAGGCAAGGCUUACUAAUGAAAAUAAACACAAUAUAGUUAAAACAUAUUUCUACACAAAAGCAACUUUAUACUUUUUAAGAUACAUUAGAUAUAUCCUACCUGUUAGGAGAUAAGUAAUUUCAAGUUUUUAAUUAUGUGGAACUAGUUCCAUCCAAGUAGUGCUUCUCUCAGUCAGUUCUCUACUGCCUUUUCCUUUUUACAGAGGCAGGAAAAUUUCCAUCUCUGCAUGUAACAUGUAGUUUGGUUCUUAACAAUUAUAGAUAACAAUUCAGACAAGCUUAUAACUUUUCUGAAUGUUGCUAUAGUUCCUCAUACGGACCAUAUAGGGCAAUGAUUAGGCCCUGUAUUCAGUGAAGCAUAAAUGAAAGCGAAGAAAAGACUAUAGGGCUAUGGCUUACUCCCUAUAUGCUCCAUUUAUGGAGGGCAUGAUGGCUGUGGGAAUGGGACUCUGAGUCUCUGCAGCCUAAAUGCUCUUCCUUGUCCCUGCUGCUACUUCUUACCCGUAGGGGAAAGGGGAAGCCGAUGAGGUUGCAGGACCCAGAUGAAACUAGAUCUGUCACUGUCUAAGCACAAGAGCGGAAACCCCGUGAGAUGAUUUAUAUGCUGGAGGCUGGACGUGAUGGAUCAUGCAGAUGUAGAGCCAACUGCUUUAGCCCAGCAGCCUGGGUGGGUGAGAACCAACCAACCAACCAUAUACCUGCAAUGCCACUUCACAGGAGCAGUGUGAAAAGAGAUGUCAAAAUAAAAAAUGGCAUCACUGACAUUGUAUAGUCGGAGUCUGAUACACCUCUAGAAAACCUCUACAAAUUUAGCACUAGUAAAAAUUAUAUAGUACCUAGAUACAUGCAUGAUGCAAGAUCUGAAAUUAUGCAAAAGAAUUCUGUUUCAUACAGGAAAAUUGCAUGUAUCCUAUGUAAAUGAAUGCAUGCAUUUAGUUCAAGAUUAGCGAACCAAAGAAUGUAGCUUAGGUUUCCCACAUCAAUAAAAAAUUUACAUACGAGUAAUAAGUUCAUAUAAAUAUGGAAGAACAUGUUCAGCUUCUUUCUUUCUACUUUCCUAUUUUCUGUCUCACUCUGCUUUCUAAAUUGUUCUGAGUGUGUCAUUCUGUUGUUCAUGCCAGAUGGGAUGCUAGCAUUUAUUUUUAGAAUCUUUGCACUAUGAUUCUCAGUGACAAACAAUACUCAAAAUGGAACAUAGACUUCAAAAAUAAUAAAACAAUAUGACAAGCAAAAACAUAAACAAUCUGUUAGAACCCUUGUAUCUAGAAUAAUAUUGUCAUGACUUGGUAUUACUGGAAGUAACACAUGCAUAACUUUUGGAAUGGGUGAAGUAAAUAUUCAGUACCUCCUUCUGCAAAACCUUAUCUCUCCAGUCAAUGCAGCAUUCUGACUAGAUGUGUAAACCUAUUGUAUUGUCGGCUAGAUUUUUUACUUUUCAAAUUUCACAUCCUUGGGUUUGAUUAAAAUAUGUAAUAAACAUUCCCAAUAGUAAACAAAAUUACAUUUCUGUAUGACAGAGGAAUACUCCAAAUAGAGUCUUGAAACCUUGUCCAGGACAUUUGACUCCCUAACUGAUAGGCAAAACAUCCAGUUGAGACCUAUAGAAGAUCGGUGAUAUAACCAAAUACAUGCAGUAAGGGCCUUGAUAUAAGCCCAGUGGAAGAACUGAGUGAAAAAUGAAAAACAAGCAGAACAUUUCAUCAUGCUUAAAAUUAUAGGACUGGAGGGGACCACAAGGACUAAUAGUCCCAUCCUCUACCAGAUAAGAAUACUCACCCCUGAAAGGAGGUCACCCAGUCUCUAUAGAAAAUUCACUAAAAAAGUGAGUUCAUCACCCGAGACAGUCUAGUCCAGGGGUCCUCAAACUUUUUAAGCCAAGGGCCAGUCCACAAUCCUUCAGACUGUUGAGGGGCCAGAUUAUCAUUUGAAAAAAAAAUACAAACAAAUUCCGAUGCACAUUGCACGUCUUAUUUGUAGUGCAAAAACAACAACAACAACAACAACAAGAACAAGAACAAUGAAAGAACAAUACAAUAUUUAAAAAUAAAAUUUUUAACCAACAUACAUUUAUCAGGAUUUCAAUGGGCAGUGUAGUCCUGCUUCUGGCCAAUGAGAUAGUCAAGUUAAUUAGGGUUGUUGUUGUUGUGUGCCUUCAAGUCAUUUCAGACUUUGGGCGAGCCUAAGUCUAAAAUGUAUUUAUUUAUUAUUUAUUUAUUUACUGCAUUUAUUUACUACAUUUGUAUCACACCCUUCUCACCCCAAAGGGGACUCAGAGUGGCUUACAAAUUAUAUGUACAUACAAUAUAUAAUAUUAUUAGCAUAGCACAAUAUUAGCAUUAUAUAUUACUAUAUUGAACUAUACCACUAUACUGUAAUAUUAUUAGUAAUAUUAUAUGUAAUAUAGAAUAUAUAAUUAAUAUUAUUAUAUGGUAUUAUUAUUAGUGUUAUAUUGUACUACAUUAUAAUAUUAUUAUCAAUAUUAUAUGUAUAUACAAUAUAUUAUAUUAUAAAACUGAGGGCGGGGGCCAGGUAAAUGACCUCGGAGGGCCGCAUCUGGCCCCCGGGCCUUAGUUUGGGGACCCCUGGUCUAGUCUAUAGCUCUUACAGUCAAGGCAAUUGCUUUAAUGUUUAAAUGGAAUCUUUUUCUUGUAAUUUGAGUCCUUAGGUCUGUAUUCUAGUCCACUGCUUAAUAAACUGCAGGUUAUGACAAAUGCAGUCCCAUAAGAGAAAAUGUUGGUUGCAAAAGAUGUACUAACAGUAAAAGGUUUCUGAAUGCCACCUAGUGGCUGUUUUAGACAUUUACUUAAACCUGUUAACAAGGUGCAGUGUUUACAGUGGACUCUGCAGCAGAAAUGCUUCAGCUUUUUCAUUAAAAAAUCAGCCUAUUUAGCAAGCCUUGGAAAUAUGAAUUAAUUAUCAGAACAUGUUUAGUUUUUUAUGUCUGUUUUAUAUACCUAUAUACCUGGGGUCACGUAAAAAUUUCUCAGACAGAAAGGGGUCACAAGUAAAUAAAACCCAGAUCCCAAAGCCAUUUCUUAUAAGGCUUGUUUUUUUGGCCCAUUUACUAUCCUGGUUGACUGCUUUUAAACAUGUUCCAUCUUGUCAAUAUCCUUCUUGAACUGUGGUGCCAGAACUGGACUCAGUAUUCCAGCUGAAAUCAGACCAGCAGAAUAGACUAUGACAUGGUGGUUUGCCAGCAAAGAUACUUCUUGAAAAGGUUGCUGAUUCUUUAGGAUUCUUUAUUAUGUUUUUGCAGGUCUGCUCCCCCAAGUGGUGAAAGAUGUCUGUGGUUCUUCUUAGCUUUGUGUGGGCUUAACUUGCACGUCUGAUUGCUGAAACAGCAACCACUGCAAUCAACAAGGGUCUGUUCUCCUGCUAAUUCAGGAAGCAACUAACAUUUCCACCUUCUCCUGUGAGUGAUAGCUAACAUGACAACCAGAAGCAGGAAUUAGCACCAUCCAAGACAGCCAUGGAACAUCAACAGCAGGAAGCUUGGAGGAAGGGGCAGUGUUUGUCUGCUGCAGGCUGCCUUUGACCUCAGCUCCUGGUGACUGGCUCCUUGCAGACCCUGCCCCUGACUGCCUGGCUGAAGCAAGGCCCAGCAGAAACACCUGCUGCCUCCAGAGGCUGGGGCAUAAAAGGAGGAUGCUGGUGGGGGCCCAGUCACACAGCACCAUCCAAGACAGCCAAAGAAGAUCAUGAUGGGGUGUGUGUGUAUAUAUGUGUAUGUAUGUAUCUGUAUGUAUCUAAAUACUGUUUUUAUGUUUUAAUAUCUUAAUGUUAAUGGUUUUAAAUUGUAUUUAUAUGUCAAUUGUUUCUACUGAUUUUAUGUUAUGUUUUAUUUGCUUUGUAUAAUGAGGUAUUGAAUUUUCGCCUAAAUUUAUGUUGUAUGCUGCUCUGAGUCCCCUGUGGGGUGAGAAGAGUUGGAUAGAAAUGCAGUUUAAUAAUAAUAAUAAUAAUAAUAAUAAUAAUAAUGACCCAAUUUUCCCUCACACUAGAGAUAUCAGUCAGAUGCUUCCCAAUUGACAAAAUGUGUACUCAUCAUGGAAGUAUGAGCAGCAUGUUAAUUCUAUCCAGCCCAUCCUUGGUUCUGUCUACUCAGUAUGUGUGGGAUAAUUGUCUCAGGAAGAGCUCUAUCCUACCCUUGGAAAGUUUUGACAUGAGGGGCAACGAUGCUAUCUCACAGUUGCUGUUCAUGUGAUGAUCCUCCAGGAACAGAGGAGGUUCUUUGUUUCAGACACCUCACAUGUGUGGGACAAUGGUGGUGAUGGAGAAGAGGGUGGUACUAGAUAUAUAUAUAUAUAUAUAUAUAUAUAUAUAUAUAUAUAUAUAUAUAUAUAAUAUAUUUUAUGUUGUGAAAUGCUGCUGUUGCUAAUGUACCAAAGGAGGUGCUAAUUAGCGCACACCCAACAUAGUAUCAGCAAGAACACCUAAUGUGGCUAUUACACUAUUCUGACUGUACAUUCUUUGUUUAGUUUUCAUGGUGGUUUGUUCAGACUGGAAUUCCUAUGACUUGUAAAGUGGGAAACAUUGAAGAGAUUUCAUGACUUUAUUUCUUGUAGUUCUGUGCAUAGUUUCUUGAUACAACAAAUUAGGUUCCCAUCUUUCUUUGGAUGUAUUUGAGUGUCUGUCUAAUAUAUAUAUAUAUGGAUAUGCAUAUAUGUGUGUGGGUGGGUGUAUAAUAACUGCAAUUUUUGAAGAUUAAAAGAAACAUUUGGAUAGAUUAACAGAAAUUAUCAUUUAGAAAGUUGCAACACUGUGCCUACAACCCUAAAUCUUCUCCCAUGUACAAAAGAGGAAAGCAGAAUAGAGUGGGGCUAGUACUUCCCUUGACCUGGAUGAUACUCCUGAUGAUGCAGCUACAGCUUGACCCAUGGCCUAUUAAGACCCUUAGAUACUUUUACAUGUAUUGCUUUCAAGUCAAUCCCUAGAAUUCAUGAGACAGCUGCCUUCAUAUGUUUUGGUAUGAUAGGCAGAGUUUACUCUUUCUAACAAUAAUGAAGUUGAAUUAUUGAAAUAUAUUGCAAAAACUUUGUGAACAUUGUUAAUGCCCCCCAAAAUCCUGUUAAAAUUAUAUAUAUAUUUAUUCAAAAGAUGAAUAGAAGUUGAUAUUGUAAAAGUUGAUGUCCAAUGCAUAGUUGUGUUAUUUCAAGUUAUUUUUAGCUUAAAGUGAAGAUUUUCUUGUGUCUUAUGAGUUCGCAAAAUGUUCCUUAUAGCAGAUAAUAUGUAUUAUACAUUGUCUAUGAUGUAUUUUAUGAUAUUUUUAUUUUUCUGGUUUUAAUAGUUUUAAUUUUAUUGUUUAUUUGUUAUAUAUUUUAAUUAUGUAAUUCUUGUUUAUGCUGCACUUGGUCCCCUUGUAAGCUGCCCUGAGUGCCUUUGGGGAGAUGGUGCUGGAAUAUAAGAAUAAAGUUCUUAUUAUGA